rnacentral:rRNA from 1 species
GAUCAUGGCUCAGAACGAACGCUGGCGGCAUGGAUUAGGCAUGCAAGUCGAACGAAGCAGCAAUGCUUAGUGGCGCAAGGGUGAGGAACACGUGAGUGACCUACCCGCAAGUUUGGAACAGCUCCUGGAAACGGGAAUUAAUACCGGAUGUGAUCAAUGAGCUGCAUGGUUUAUUGAUUAAAGCAGCAAUGCGCUUGCGGAUGGGCUCGCGUCCCAUUAGCUAGUUGGUGAGGUAACGGCCCACCAAGGCCAUGAUGGGUAGCUGGUCUGAGAGGACGACCAGCCACACUGGGACUGAGAACUGCCCAGACUCCUACGGGAGGCUGCAGUCGAGAAUUUUGGGCAAUGGACGAAAGUCUGACCCAGCAAUGCCGCGUGCGGGAUGAAGGUCUUCGGAUUGUAAACCGCUGUUUGGAGGGACGAAAAUUGACGGUACUUCCAGAGGAAGCCACGGCUAACUACGUGCCAGCCGCUGC